AUUACAGGCAUGAGCCACUGCACCCAGCCUGUAGCAUUUUAGGCUUUAGAUUUUUGGAUUGGAGAUACUCAACCUGUUAUAAAAUAGGUACUAGCUGUGUUUCUUUAAGCAAAUUCAGUGCUUCAGUUUCUAAAUUUUGUAAAUCUGAGAAUAGAAAGAUUGUGUCUGUGCUGUAAUUUUAAAAUAAUCUUUACAACUGUUUUUGCAGUUUUUAGAUGUUUAUCUUUUUAUCUACAGGGAACUCAAAACUGUAUGAUCUACCAGAUGAGCCUUUUACAAGACAGUUUUACUUUGUCCACUCAGCUGGUCAGUUUAAGGGAAAGACUUCAAGGGAGAUUAUGGCAAGAGAUAGAAGUGUCCCUAAUUUAACCGAAGGUUCUUUGCAUGAACCAGGGAGGCAAAGUGUCACACUGAGACAGAAUAACCUGCCAGCUCAGAGU
rnacentral:sRNA from 1 species